UACAGAGGGUGCGAGCGUUGUCCGGAAUCACUGGGCGUAAAGGGCGCGUAGGUGGUGGCUUAAGCGUGCGGUGAAAGCUCGGGGCUCAACUCCGAGUCGGCCGUGCGAACUGGGCUCACUGGAGCAUAGUAGAGGCAGGUGGAAUUCCGGGUGUAGCGGUGGAAUGCGUAGAGAUCCGGAAGAACACCGGUGGCGAAGGCGGCCUGCUGGGCUAUGGCUGACACGUGAGGCGCGGACAGCGUGGGGAGCAAACAGGG
rnacentral:rRNA from 1 species